GAUCCUGGCUCGGGAUGAACGCUGGCGGCGUGCUUAACACAUGCAAGUCGAACGAAGCACUUAAAUUUGAUUCUUCGGAUGAAGAUUUUUGUGACUGAGUGGCGGACGGGUGAGUAACGCGUGGGUAACCUGCCUCAUACAGGGGGAUAACAGUUAGAAAUGACUGCUAAUACCGCAUAAGCGCACAGGGUCGCAUGACCUGGUGUGAAAAACUCCGGUGGUAUGAGAUGGACCCGCGU
rnacentral:rRNA from 1 species